AGUCGAGCGAGUCUGCCUUGAAGAUCGGAGUGCUUGCACUCUGUGAAACAAGAUACAGGCUAGCGGCGGACGGGUGAGUAACACGUGGGUAACCUGCCCAAGAGAUCGGGAUAACACCUGGAAACAGAUGCUAAUACCGGAUAACAACAGAUGAUGCCUAUCAACUGUUUAAAAGAUGGUUCUGCUAUCACUCUUGGAUGGACCUGCGGUGCAUUAGCUAGUUGGUAGGGUAACGGCCUACCAAGGCGAUGAUGCAUAGCCGAGUUGAGAGACUGAUCGGCCACAUUGGGACUGAGACACGGCCCAAACUCCUACGGGAGGCAGCAGUAGGGAAUCUUCCACAAUGGACGCAAGUCUGAUGGAGCAACGCCGCGUGAGUGAAGAAGGGUUUCGGCUCGUAAAGCUCUGUUGUUGGUGAAGAAGGACAGGGGUAGUAACUGACCUUUGUUUGACGGUAAUCAAUUAGAAAGUCACGGCUAACUACGUGCCAGCAGCCGCGGUAAUACGUAGGUGGCAAGCGUUGUCCGGAUUUAUUGGGCGUAAAGCGAGUGCAGGCGGCUCGAUAAGUCUGAUGUGAAAGCCUUCGGCUCAACCGGAGAAUUGCAUCAGAAACUGUCGAGCUUGAGUANNNNAGAGGAGAGUGGAACUCCAUGUGUAGCGGUGAAAUGCGUAGAUAUAUGGAAGAACACCGGUGGCGAANGCGGCUCUCUGGUCUGUUNNNGA
rnacentral:rRNA from 1 species